CGACGGGGGGAUCCCAAGUGCCAUUCUUAACGGGAUGGCUUUUCAUUAGUGUAAAGAGCUUUUGGAAUAAGAGCUGGGCAAGACCGGUGCCAGCCGCCGCGGUAACACCGGCAGCUCUAGUGGUAACAAUUUUUAUUGGGCCUAAAGCGUCCGUAGCCGGUUUAAUAAGUCUCUGGUGAAAUCCUGUAGCUUAACUGUGGGAAUUGCUGGAGAUACUAUUAGACUUGAGACCGGGAGAGGUUAGAGGUACUCCCAGGGUAGAGGUGAAAUUCUGUAAUCCUGGGAGGACCGCCUGUUGCGAAGGCGUCUAACUGGAACGGUUCUGACGGUGAGGGACGAAAGUUAGGGGCGCGAACCGGAUUAGAUACCCGGGUAGUCCUAACUGUAAACGAUGCGGACUUGGUGUUGGGGUGGCUUUGAGCUGCUCCAGUGCCGAAGGGAAGCUGUUA
rnacentral:rRNA from 1 species